rnacentral:rRNA from 1 species
UUGGAGGGCAAGUCUGGUGCCAGCAGCCGCGGUAAUUCCAGCUCCAAUAGCGUAUAUUAAAGUUGUUGCAGUUAAAAAGCUCGUAGUUGAAUUUCGGGGUCAGUAGGUUGGUCGUGCCACUGGUAUGCACUGGUCUCACUGAUUCCUCCUUCCUGAUGAACCGUAAUGCCAUUAAUUUGGUGUUGCGGGGAAUCUGGACUGUUACUUUGAAAAAAUUAGAGUGUUUAAAGCAGGCUAACGCUUGAAUACAUUAGCAUGGAAUAAUGAAAUAGGACGAUCGAUCCUAUUUUGUUGGUUUCUAGGAUUGACGUAAUGAUUAAUAGGGAUAGUUGGGGGCAUUAGUAUUCAAUUGUCAGAGGUGAAAUUCUUGGAUUUAUUGAAGACUAACUACUGCGAAAGCAUUUGCCAAGGAUGUUUUCAUUAAUCGAGAACGAAAGUUAGGGGAUCGAAGACGAUCAGAUACCGUCGUAGUCUUAACCAUAAACUAUGCCGACUAGGGAUCGGAUGAUGUUAAUUUUUUAAUGACUCAUUCGGCGCCUUACGGGAAA